GUGUGUUUCCUUCUUUCUUCUAAUUGUCACUUAGGUUUGCCCACAGCUGUUGGAGUACUUUAGAUAUGUAAGAACGAGACAUGCUUUUUCAAUGAUUGUGGUGACCUAGCCACGCAGUUGCUAUAUGUAAAAUCAAUUCUUCCUUAUAGUACGAUGCUCACCAACAAGUUAUAAUCAUCAACACUCAUUUGCUCUUUCCUCAUGAUUCAACAUUGUUUAUGGUUUAUAAGAUUCUCCAGUAGAACGAUGAAAACAUUUCCAAGUUUGAUGCUUUUGUUCAGUUUGUAUCGUAAAAUCUGUUUCUUUCUUUCACAUGAUGGCUUAUUUACUUAAAAGUUAUUUUGUUUGUGUAGCUAAUGAGGGCUCCUUGAUUGUGUUAUAGUCUACUGAUUAUAUUAGUUUCUUUGAAGAUUGCAGAACGCCAUCAUGAAACCGACUGAACGAGGAGAUUAAAGGCUUUGUGAAAGCUGGCUUUUCGGUUGUGUCCUUAAUAUGGUUCUUUGCGUGUCAAACAUGCGGUUGAAUGUUGUACACAGAGAGAGAAAUAAAUACCAUGUUUAUGUCAUCUAGCGGAGAUAACAAUAAGGAAGAGAAGCGUUAGGAUCACAAGCCAAAGAUCCAAAUCUGAAUACUUGGGUCAGAGAUCCAAAUAGAUUCAGACAAGACCAGCCAGAGUUUGGUUCUUGGCUCAUUCUUGGAGGCAGCGCAAAGAGGAACAACGAAAAUAAUUUUUUAACUGGACACUAUACAACAUUCAGGCUUUAACUGGUGACCAUUAAAUUAAGAAUAGGAAUGAGUAGGAAAGGAAUGAAUAUGAAUAAAAUCAAUGGAAUUAAAAGGAAUAUUUAUUACUUUUGUUCCAUAUCAACUUUGAUAAGAAUACUUUUGUUCUAUGGUUCCUUAAAAUUUAAGGAAUGACAAGGAAUCAGACGGAACAAAAAUUCCCUAUAAAUGGUGUAAUUUUUAAGGAAUGAGUGGGAAUGGAUCAUUCCCCUUUGUUCCCUAUGUCACCAGUGAGAACCUCAGUGUAUUUUCUCUGUAUUAACCUCCAAAAUGAAAACUAACUCACCUCUUUUCUCUGUAUUCGAUAAAGAGGAAUGUGUAGACUAAGUGAGCGAAUCUCAAAUAUGCUGAAGGAUUCAAGGAUAGAAGAAUGUGACUUUAGGUUUCUGCUAGCUUUUCAGAAGUUGAUUUUUGUUUGAGCUAUGCCACUGGAGUAGGCGAACAGAAGCGGAUGCUGGAACAGAGGCGUGGGCUCUGGAGGCUAGAACAUAGGCAUAGGCUCUGGAGGCUGGAGACGGAGACUCUGGACUCUGGAGGUGGAAACAGAGUCUCUGGAGAAGCAAAUUCAUCUAAUGAAAAAUAGCACCCAUGUAAAAGCAGCGAAGUCAACAACAAUCCAUCAAUUCCUGGUUCGAAUAACAACUCUUUUCCCUCUCAGAGUAAUGUACCCAGACCGUCUGUACCUCCUGGUUUUGCAAGCACAGUUUUGGAAAGAAAGCAAGGAGACAAACCUCAAGAAUAAGUAGGAGACAAAGAAGCUGAAGAGCAGCCGGAGACAGAGAGAAUAGGCGGAGGCAGAGGAAUAAGCAACGACGAAGCAGUUUCAUAAAUGGAGGUUGUGGCGACCGAGGAGGCAAAGCGGAGGAUAAUUUAUAAACCGAAUAAAUUUGUAAUCUGGUUUAAUUUAUAACUUGUUGGUUUUUUCAUAGUAAUUGUUUCAGCUUUUUUAUUAGUAGCUUUAUUGAAAGUUUCAAAGUAUUAGAAGAGGCUUUAAAUGUGUGACUAAAAUAAAAAUAAUUGUAAAGAAAAUUGAUAAAGAU